CAACUACUCCCUCCGUUCCAAAUUACUCGUCGCUGAAAUGGAUGUAUCUAGAACUAAAAUACAUCUAGAUACAUCCAUAUGUGCGACAAAUAAUUUGGAACGGAGGGAGUACUAU
rnacentral:pre_miRNA from 1 species